CGGCGUGCUUAACACAUGCAAGUCGAACGGAGUUACAUGAAACCUAGUGAUUGUAAACGUUAGUGGCGGACGGGUGAGUAACGCGUGGGUAACCUGCCUUAUCCAGGGGGAUAACAGUGAGAAAUUACUGCUAAUACCGCAUAAGCGCACAGAAUCGCAUGAUACAGUGUGAAAAGAUUUAUCGGGAUAAGAUGGACCCGCGUCUGAUUAGCUAGUUGGUGAGGUAACGGCCCACCAAGGCGACGAUCCAGUAGCCGGCCUGAGAGGGUGAACGGCCACAUUGGGACUGAGACACGGCCCAAACUCCUACGGGAGGCAGCAGUGGGGAAUAUUGCACAAUGGGGGAAACCCUGAUGCAGCGACGCCGCGUGAGUGAUGAAGUAUUUCGGUAUGUAAAGCUCUAUCAGCAGGGAAGAAAAUGACGGUACCUGACUAAGAAGCCCCGGCUAACUACGUGCCAGCAGCAGC
rnacentral:rRNA from 1 species